AGGCAGCAGUGAGGAAUUUUGCGCAAUGGGGGAAACCCUGACGCAGCAACGCCGCGUGGGUGAAGAAGGCUUUCGGGUCGUAAAGCCCUGUCAGGUGGGAAGAAACUCUUCAGUACUAAUAAUGCUGAAGCCUGACGGUACCACCAGAGGAAGCACCGGCCAACUCCGUGCCAGCAGCCGCGGUAAUACGGAGGGUGCAAGCGUUGUUCGGAAUUAUUGGGCGUAAAGAGCGUGUAGGCGGCUUGGUAAGUCAGAUGUGAAAGCCCUGGGCUCAACCCAGGAAGUGCAUUUGAAACUACCAGACUUGAGUACGGGAGAGGAGGGGGGAAUUCCCGGUGUAGAGGUGAAAUUCGUAGAUAUCGGGAGGAAUACCGGUGGCGAAGGCGCCCCUCUGGACCGAUACUGACGCUGAGACGCGAAAGCGUGGGGAGCAAACAGGAUUAGAUACCCUGGUAGUCCACGCCGUAAACGAUGAGCACUAGGUGUAGCGGGUAUUGACCCCUGCUGUGCCGUAGCUAACGCAUUAAGUGCUCCGCCUGGGGACUACGGUCGCAAGACUAAAACUCAAAUGAAUUGACGG
rnacentral:rRNA from 1 species